UUUUUAAUGGCGUAUAAUAUAAGACAGCGGUCGUAUAAUGACUGAGAAAUUUGGAUUUUUCUGUUUGAAUAAACAGCAAACUGGAGACAUUGAGAUUAAUUAUAAACUUAUUAUUUUAGGUGUUAUCAAGAAAAAAGGUCUUAACAGAUUUAUGAAUAGGCAUUGGCAGAAAAACAGGCGUCCGACCACGCAUAAUGGAGGAUUCUAUUUCUUUUAUCAUGUAGCUAUAUCUAUAUGACCUCUGCCGCCGACUUUUUCACCCGUUGGCGCCUGUGCCCAAAUCCUUCUAAGACCGUAGUCUGCUGUUUCCACCUGUCCAAUAAGCUGGCACAUAAGACCCUCAGAGUUAGAUUCCGGGGUACAGCCUUACAACAUAACUAUUCCCCAAAGUAUCUCGGUGUUACACUGGACAGAAGCCUGACAUACCGAUUGCACAUAGAGAAGCUAAAAAGUAAAAUAAGGACCAGGAUAUUUUAAUUACGAUACAUAAAUAACUACUAAAACAUGUUUUCUGCAAGAAAUUAGUUAUCUUAUUAUAUUAUAAAAUAUUUAUUAUCCAUCUGUGAUGUUUAUUUCUUGUGAAGAUAUCGAAGUUUCGCUGUGUAGCACUUAUCGAUAUAUAAUAUGAUCAAAAUCGACCCGUCCACAUCCCUAAAAAUCCACACAUACACAUUUUUACGCACAUAUACAAAGCAGUAUAACCACCAAAAUGGCUACGGCUUGAGUAUUCAAUUUUGUAUUGAGAAAAGGCAACUAUAUCCUGUCUUUAUUUGCCUCUCUAUCGCUCGAAUAUGCAAUACGCAUGCACUCUUCGUCAAAAUCGGUUUCAAACUUUUUCGACUGAGUACGCGCAAUAAACGCCUAGUAGUAGUAUUUAAAUGUUUACCGUAUUCAUUUAAAGCAUCGUAGGACAAUGCCGCUAUGUAAACUGUAAGGUGGGUCUUAAAUUAGUGUGAGUUAUUUUGGCACCGGACUCAACCUUCACGUUACAAUAUUUAAAGUAUUGCGCUGUCAUAGUAACGAAAAUGAUAAACACGUCAAUCGGAGUAAACAAGUAACUAAAUGAUGCAAACAAGAAAAUAUUGCAAAAUAGGUACAUAUAUAUGUACCGAUAAUUAUUUUGUGUUAAAAAUAUGAGGCAAAUUAUACUGCCCGAUUAUACGGACUACAUAUUAAAAACGAUUAUCUUGGAAACAGUCAAUAGAUGUCGAACCACCAGCAAAGUUUUUGAAGAGGUGUACCUAGUUCCUGGUACCAACUGGAAACUGAAACUAAUAAUCUACACUCAAGAAAAUGAAAUAUAGUCACAGAAAACUUUAAUGUUUUAUUUUAUUAAAGAAAAACGUUAAAAAAAUGUGUAAACAGAAA